rnacentral:rRNA from 1 species
AGCAGCCGCGGUAAUUCCAGCUCCAAUAGCGUAUAUUAAAGUUGUUGCAGUUAAAAAGCUCGUAGUUGAAUUUCGGGGUCAGUAGUUUGGUCGUGCCAACGGUGUGUACUGGGCUCACUGAUUCCUCCUUCCUGAUGAACUGUAAUGCCAUUAAUUUGGUGUUGCAGGGAAACUGGACUGUUACUUUGAAAAAAUUAGAGUGUUUAAAGCAAGCUAACGCUUGAAUACAUUAGCAUGGAAUAAUGAAAUAGGACGUUCGAUCCUAUUUUGUUGGUUUCUAGGAUUGACGUAAUGAUUAAUAGGGAUAGUUGGGGGCAUUAGUAUUCAAUUGUCAGAGGUGAAAUUCUUGGAUUUAUUGAAGACUAAUUACUGCGAAAGCAUUUGCCAAGGAUGUUUUCAUUAAUCAAGAACGAAAGUUAGGGGAUCGAAGACGAUCAGAUACCGUCGUAGUCUUAACCAUAAACUAUGCCGACUAGGGAUCGGAUGAUGUUAAUUUUUAAUGACUCAUUCGGCGCCUUAA